rnacentral:rRNA from 1 species
ACGCUCGACACCUACGGUAGGCAGCAGUGGGGAAUAUUGCACAAUGGAGGAAACUCUGAUGCAGCGAUGCCGCGUGAGGGAAGAAGGUUUUCGGAUUGUAAACCUCUGUCUUUGGGGACGAUAAUGACGGUACCCAAGGAGGAAGCUCCGGCUAACUACGUGCGGCAGCCGCGGUAAUCUGAGCGGGCGUGGCAAGGC